CACUUCUCCACCAGCACCUUGCAGGCUUUGGCUUGUGCAAAGAGCUGGUUCACUCGAUUCUCUUCUGUGUCAAAGUGCUUCCUGUAAAACGACUGUGGAGACAACAGACGUUAUGAACUGGAAUGAAGUUUACCUUAGUUUUUAUUUUUACAGGGUUGGCGAUGUGGUGGUUUCAGUUUCAGAAAGUUCCUUACCGCUCAAAGGACAUGAAGAGUUGUCCCUAUUAUUGUUACUUCAGCACCAGUCAAAAGCCUCUGUCAAGUCCCAAGAUUAACUGAAGAGGUGCACGUUUCCUACGUGAAGACUUCAAAGGGUAACAACUUUAAUCUUCUUGGAUGUUCAGCUCCCAGUCAUCCUGUUUCCCAACACACCCAGAUUUCUUCACCGAUGCCUGUCGGCUGUCCCGAGAUAGGAUACGAGCCCGUGCAGGCUGUGGCUGUAAACAGCACCGACAACGCCGCUCCGCCGGCUCCUCGGCGCAAACAACUCACACCGGGAGCCGGCGAUUCCACACCGCUGCUGGCAGAACCGUCGGCUCCGGGCGGGCGGAGGGGCCGCCAGGGCCUCCCCGGGGGAUGGCGAGACCCCUCGGCCGCGGGCAGGGCCGUGCCCGGGCUCCCUCCCCCGGCCCCUUCCGCCAGGGCCGCCCGCCCCCUCCCCCCGAGGGCUCCUCCCGGCCGCCCCGCGCUCCCCGCCGGCAGAGGGAAGGGCUGCGGGACGCGGCCGGGGC